rnacentral:rRNA from 1 species
UACGUAGGAUGCAAGCGUUGUCCGGAAUUAUUGGGCGUAAAGAGCGCGCAGGCGGUCUAUCAAGUCAGAUGUGAAAUAUCCGGGCUUAACCCGGAGGGGUCAUUUGAAACUGGUAGACUAGAGUACAGCAGAGGAUAGUGGAAUUCCCGGUGUAGUGGUGAAAUGCGUAGAUAUCGGGAGGAACACCAGUGGCGAAGGCGACUAUCUGGGCUGAAACUGACGCUGAGGCGCGAAGGCUAGGGGAGCAAACAGG